GAUAUAGGUCAGUUGGUAGAGUACUUGCCUUGCAUGCACAAGGCCCUGGGUUCGAUCCCCAGCAAUCA
rnacentral:tRNA from 1 species